UCUCCCCUUUCCUAUUUCCCCUAAGAGGUCAACUCUACAGGUGGCCCGUACUUGUAGUUCCAACACUUGGGAGGCUGAGGCAGGAGGAU
rnacentral:miRNA from 1 species